rnacentral:rRNA from 1 species
UACGUAGGCAGCGAGCGUUGUUCGGAAUUACUGGGCGUAAAGAGUGUGUAGGCGGUGUUCCCAGUCUGUUGUGAAAUCUCCCGGCUUAACUGGGAGGGUGCAGCGGAAACUAGAAUGCUAGAGGGUGGGAGAGGUAAGCGGAAUUCCUGGUGUAGCGGUGAAAUGCGUAGAUAUCAGGAGGAACACCUGUGGUGUAGACAGCUUACUGGACCACUUCUGACGCUGAGACACGAGAGCGUGGGUAGCAAACAGG